GAAUACUGCUUCUCUUUCUCUAGAUUACAGCUGCAUGAUAUUGGUCAUGAGACAAACUUCCUCUUUCUUACAUUAGAGCAGCUGUUUUGAUUUCUCAGCUCGGAAUACUAGUGAAAACAACUUUCUCUGUUUUAUUUUAAACAGGAAAUAUUUUAUUCGCUUUGAAUCACAAACUGAAAUGUUCAUGUUGUUUCAAUUCUGUGUGUAUAUCUUGAUGUUUUGGAUCAGUUUCUCAGAGGCAGUGAUAUCCUGCUUAAAUGAGGAUGGCCAGCCGGUUGACUGGUUUGUUAUUUACAAACUUCCCAUUUACAAGAUGGAGGUUAAGGGAAGUGGAGUUGAUUACAUGUAUCUGGAUCCGUCCGUCAUGGAUUUUCAGAUGAGUAAACAUACAGUCAACAGCAGUAAAGGAGCUGUAGGCAGAACAUUGACACAGCUUUACUCUGGAUAUACAUCCAACAGAUCAGUCUAUAUGCUUUACAAUGACGCGCCACCAGUACUUAAGUACCCAAGCAAGUAUGGACAUACAAAAGGAGUGCUGAUGUUUGACCAGUCUCAGGGAUUUUGGCUCACACACAGUGUUCCUCAUUUUCCUCCAUUUCCAGAGAGAAAUUACAGUUACCCAUCUACAGGAAAAUACUACGGCCAGACUCUGCUCUGUAUUACAUACAACUAUACACAGUUCCCUCAAAUAUCAUGGCAGUUAGCAUAUCUUAAUCCACGUAUGUACAACUGCUCUGUACCUGUGGCAUUUCGCCCAGAUAUUGCAGUAAUGGCACAAAUUUGUGAUGGUAAGACACCAGCCUUGAAAAACAGGAAGAGUCUGCAGAAGCUGAAAUCAGUUCGAGGACAAACUUUUUUCAGUUUCGCCAAAUCACACAACUAUGUGGAUGAUAUUUACACAGGUUGGGUGGCUCAAGCAUUAGGGACAGAUCUGCUGGUGGAAUCAUGGCUGCACCAGGCACAUCGACUCCCCUCUAACUGCUCACUUCCCCGGCACGUGAUGAACAUUAACAGAGUUUGUCUCCCAGGACCUCAGAUGUUCAGAAGCUACGAGGAUCAUUCUAAGUGGUGUGUGUCCUAUGCUUUCAAAGACCAGUGGACAUGUCUGGGGGACUUGAACAGAGACAGUGGUCAGGCUGGCAGAGGUGGUGGGCUGAUAUGUUCUCAAAACUCAAUAAUUUAUAAAGCUUUCCGUCAGGCCAUGGCUGGGUAUUAUCACUGCUGAAAAAUACCUUCAGUAGACUGAACCAGCUCCGGACUUUGGAGCAUGCAUUAAAAUAUGACAGGGGUUUUUAUACUAGUUUUGACUUGAACCCAGAUGUAAUUAUGAAAGUUGAUAAUAAAAAAAAAAAAAAAAAAAAAAAUGGUACAUUUAAUUAGAUGGGGAUGGUAAUUUUUGUUGUUGUCUCCAAACUCCAAAAACAAACAACAACAAAAAAGAAAAUACAAAUGUGACUAUAAAUGUUACAAUUCCUGUCUCUUUUCCCAUGUUUUGUGAUUAAGGACUCUUAUUUUGAAGCAUAUUUUUUCAUUUCCAGUGUUUAGUUUGUUUCCAUAGCUGCCUUGUUUGUUUCUAUAGUUACCCUUGUUAAGUUUCCUUAGCAAUUCCCAAAUCCGGUGUUCCCAGCGCUCCCAAGUCUGGUGGUCCCAAGUCUCAGCACUUCCAAGUCUGGUGGUCCCAAGUCCAGUGAUCUCAGCACUUGCAAGUCCUGUGGUCCCAAGUCCAGCAUGCUUGGAGGUCCUUCCACUGUCAUCUGUGCUGCCCGUGAUGGCUACCGCCAUUUUGUGUGUUUAGGGCACACAAUGUCAGCAGUUCCUCCUGAGGCGGUGAGACCUACUGCAGCUCCUCCUGUCACGGCCAAGGAGGCCGUCUCUGAACCCUCUGCCUGCCCUGUCAUGGCCAAGGAGGCAGUCUCUGAACCCCCUGUCUGCCCUGUCACAGCCAAAGACAGAGCUGGCACAAGCUCAACUGCCACUCUAGGCAAAACACAGUCAUGCCACCCCCCACUUCACACUCAUAAUUAAACACUUUAUAUUAGGUGGCCUUAACUACUAUGUACUUACAUUUCAACUAAUCAUUUGAUACAGUGCACUUAUUGUGUACAUACAUGUUUUUACAUUGUACUUAUAUUUAAAAAAAAUACCUGCAUGUAGUUACAUCUGUAAUUAAUUUCUGUAUUUACAUUUAUAAUUACACUGUUGACCCUUCCCUUACACCUUAACUCACCCUUAAACCUACCCAUACCACCAAACCUGUCCCUAACCUUACCCGUAUCCCACCUCAAUAGCAGCAAAAGUGUUUUACAGUACAAUAUGAACAGGGUACAUUGUACUCUUACUGGCCUGUUCAGCUGAGCCAUCCAUUGAACAAAACAAGCCCUGAAAAUUGAUAAAAGAACAAAUAUUACACAGACACUUGAUAUUUAAUCUUACUAGAUGAUUAGUUAAUUGCAUUUGAUAGAUUUUACUUUCAAUACAACAUUGCAAAUACAACAUUUGCAAUGGGUUUGUAAAAGGUAUUUUUAUGCAUGAGUUUUUGCAUGGUUUUUGUUGUAUUACACAGUUCUGACCAUAGACUGUAUAAAAAAAAUAAAAAUAAAUAAAUAAAUAAAAAAAAAAGUAAGGUUCUGACCACCAGGGGUCACCAGCGUGUAGCGUUUCGAACGCUUCGGAACAGUGAAUCACUUUGCGAAGCAAUAGUUCAAUUGAUUCAAAGCUAUUAAAAGCUUCGUUUCUCCCAUCACUGGUAAUCAUAUACCGUUGAAAAAUGAAAUUAUGUAUUUUAUAUGUCUAUGCGCUGUGUAUUAUUGGUCCGAAAUGAUAAACGGUCCGUGAGGCACAAAUGAGUAGCGUAGUUUCGUUCCGCUUUCAUUUCGUUUGCCAUUUGAUGUUGGCCAACGUUGUGGUGGUCGCGCCAGCUCGACCGCUAACAAAAUUUUGGUAGCACCGGCUGGGAAAAUGACAGAAAAAAAAUUAGCCACAGUCCGGAGCCCUGCAUGGCCAGGGGUUGAGGAGGAUGAAUGCAGACAGUAUUGUCGUGUUCUAUUUCAGCCGUCAGGUGGCGAUGACGAUCUAAAAACUCAUAUUGUACUUACACAAAGAUCGAAGAAGAAGAAGAGGACGAACCGAGACGGAAAUAAUUGUCCAAAAUGAUCGGAGAUCUUCUAAUUUUGGGCACUCUGCUCAUGAACGCUGGCGCUGUACUCAACUUUAAACUGUGAGUAAAGACACAAAAGUCAUCUUACAGUUUUAGUUUGGAGGAUUGCUUGUUAAUAGUUGUGUCUUUGCGCAGAAAGAAGAGGGAAACACAGUCUCAAGGCUUUGGCGAUGAAUCUAGAUCAUCUAGCACUGGUGACAACAUCAGAGAGUUUUUGCUGAGUCUGCGGUACUUUCGCAUAUUCAUUGCCCUUUGGAACAUUUUCAUGAUGUUUUGCAUGAUUUUGUUAUUUGGAUCAUAAUACAUGGCUGUUACAGUGAGGAUAACUACAGACAAAAUAUAUAAUGAUUGGGCAGAUUUCUUUUAAUGGUUAUUUUUAGAGCGGGAUGUCUUUAAGUCUUAUACAUAGUCUUAUCCAACGUCUUACAAGACGUCUGUAUAUUUUGUACAGAAGUGUGUAUGAUUAAUAUUGCUUUUACUUUCUUUGAAUCAAAUGAGGACAGCAUAUGGGAAUUAGUUUUUGUUUUAAAUAAAAAUGUCAGUGUUAAAUGCA